GACGAACGCUGGUGGCGUGCCUAAUACAUGCAAGUAGAACGCUGAAGGAGGAGCUUGCUUCUCUGGAUGAGUUGCGAACGGGUGAGUAACGCGUAGGUAACCUGCCUGGUAGCGGGGGAUAACUAUUGGAAACGAUAGCUAAUACCGCAUAAGAUUGACUAUUGCAUGAUAGUCAGUUAAAAGGUGCAAUUGCAUCACUACCAGAUGGACCUGCGUUGUAUUAGCUAGUUGGUGGGGUAACGGCUCACCAAGGCGACGAUACAUAGCCGACCUGAGAGGGUGAUCGGCCACACUGGGACUGAGACACGGCCCAGACUCCUACGGGAGGCAGCAGUAGGGAAUCUUCGGCAAUGGACGGAAGUCUGACCGAGCAACGCCGCGUGAGUGAAGAAGGUUUUCGGAUCGUAAAGCUCUGUUGUAAGAGAAGAACGAGUGUGAGAGUGGAAAGUUCACACUGUGACGGUAUCUUACCAGAAAGGGACGGCUAACUACGUG
rnacentral:rRNA from 1 species